GCAAAGUAGGUGCGCGUGGAGGGGGUAAUACGUAGGGGGCAAGCGUUUGCCGGAAGUAGUGGGCGGAAAGAGCGCGCAUGCGGCCUUGUAAGUCUGAUGUGAAAGCCCCCGGCUCAACCGGGGAGGGACAUUGGAAACUGGAAGGCUUGAGUACAGAAGAGAAGAGUGGAAUUCCACGUGUAGCGGUGAAAUGCGUAGAGAUGUGGAGGAACACCAGUGGCGAAGGCGACUCUUUGGUCUGUAACUGACGCUGAGGCGCGAAAGCGUGGGGAGCAAACAGGAUUAGAUACCCGAGUAGUC
rnacentral:rRNA from 1 species